rnacentral:rRNA from 1 species
CCUACGGGGGGCAGCAGUGAGGAAUAUUGGUCAAUGGGCGAGAGCCUGAACCAGCCAAGUCGCGUGAAGGAUGACGGCCCUACGGGUUGUAAACUUCUUUUGUCAGGGAGCAAUUGAGUCCACGUGUGGGCUUAGCGAGAGUACCUGAAGAAAAAGCAUCGGCUAACUCCGUGCCAGCAGCCGCGGUAAUACGGAGGAUGCGAGCGUUAUCCGGAUUUAUUGGGUUUAAAGGGUGCGUAGGCGGAAUAUCAAGUCAGCGGUAAAAAUUCGGGGCUCAACCCCGUCGUGCCGUUGAAACUGAUGUUCUUGAGUGGGCGAGAAGUAUGCGGAAUGCGUGGUGUAGCGGUGAAAUGCAUAGAUAUCACGCAGAACUCCGAUUGCGAAGGCAGCAUACCGGCGCCCAACUGACGCUGAAGCACGAAAGCGUGGGUA